CCUACGGGUGGCAGCAGUGAGGAAUAUUGGUCAAUGGGCGGAAGCCUGAACCAGUCAAGUAGCGUGCAGGAUGACGGCCCUACGGGUUGUAAACUGCUUUUAUACGGGAAUAACGCGCCUUACGUGUAGGGCUUUGCAUGUACCGUAUGAAUAAGGACCGGCUAAUUCCGUGACAGCAGCCGCGGUAAUACGGAAGGUCCGGGCGUUAUCCGGAUUUAUUUGGUUUACAGGGAGCGUAGGCCGCAUGUCAAGCGUGCUGUGAAAUGUCCGGGCCCAACCCGGGCCUUGCAGCGCGAACUGGCGUGCUUGAGUCCGCGGAAAGCAGGCGGAAUGCGUCGUGUAGCGGUGAAAUGCUUAGAUAUGACGAAGAACCCCGAUUGCGAAGGCAGCUUGCUGCAGCGGAACUGACGCUGAUGCUCGAAAGCGCGGGUAUCGAACAGGAUUAGAUACCCGGGUAGUC
rnacentral:rRNA from 1 species